AGGGCGGGACACGUGUUAUCCUGUCUGAAUAUGGGGGGACCAUCCUCCAAGGCUAAAUACUCCUGACUGACCGAUAGUGAACCAGUACCGUGAGGGAAAGGCGAAAAGAACCCCUGUGAGGGGAGUGAAAUAGAACCUGAAACCGUGUACGUACAAGCAGUAGGAGCACCUUCGUGGUGUGACUGCGUACCUUUUGUAUAAUGGGUCAGCGACUUAUAUUCAGUGGCAAGGUUAACCAUCUAGGGGAGCCGUAGGGAAACCGAGUCUUAACUGGGCGCCAUAGUCUCUGGAUAUAGACCCGAAACCGAGUGAUCUAGCCAUGGGCAGGUUGAAGGUUGAGUAACAUCAACUGGAGGACCGAACCGACUAAUGUUGAAAAAUUAGCGGAUGACUUGUGGCUAGGGGUGAAAGGCCAAUCAAACUCGGAGAUAGCUGGUUCUCCCCGAAAGCUAUUUAGGUAGCGCCUCGGACGAAUACUACUGGGGGUAGAGCACUGUUAAGGCUAGGGGGUCAUCCCGACUUACCAACCCUUUGCAAACUCCGAAUACCAGUAAGUACUAUCCGGGAGACACACGGCGGGUGCUAACGUCCGUCGUGGAGAGGGAAACAACCCAGACCGCCAGCUAAGGUCCCAAAUUACAGCUAAGUGGGAAACGAUGUGGGAAGGCUUAGACAGCUAGGAUGUUGGCUUAGAAGCAGCCAUCAUUUAAAGAAAGCGUAAUAGCUCACUAGUCGAGUCGGCCUGCGCGGAAGAUGUAACGGGGCUAAGUUGUAAACCGAAGCUGCGGCAAUAUCUUUUAGAUAUUGGGUAGGGGAGCGUUCUGUAAGCCGUUGAAGGUGUGUUGUAAAGCAUGCUGGAGGUAUCAGAAGUGCGAAUGCUGACAUGAGUAACGACAAGGGGGGUGAAAAACCUCCCCGCCGGAAGACCAAGGGUUCCUGUCCAACGUUAAUCGGGGCAGGGUA
rnacentral:rRNA from 1 species